GGGCCCGUGGUCUAGUCCGGUACACGCGGAAACAAAGUUCCCGCCUUUGAAAGGUGUAAGUCACCAGUUCAAAUCUGGUCGGGCCCA
rnacentral:tRNA from 1 species